GGCGGAAUUGGUAGACGCACCAGAUUUAGGUUCUGGCGCCGCAAGGUGUGAGAGUUCAAGUCUCUCCUUCCGCACCA
rnacentral:tRNA from 1 species